rnacentral:rRNA from 1 species
UCAAGCUACAAAGAGCGCAAGGGGAAUGCCUUGGCACCAGGAGCCGACGAAGGACGCAGCAAUCUGCGAAAAGCCACGGGGAGCCGAAAGCAGGCAUCGAUCCGUGGAUGUCCGAAUGGGGAAACCCGGCUGAGUGAAGCUCAGUCAGCGUACACUGAAUCCAUAGGUGUGCGUGGGGAACCGCCUGAACUGAAACAUCUAAGUAGGGCGAGGAAAAGAAAUCAACCGAGAUUCCGCAAGUAGUGGCGAGCGAACGCGGAAGAGGCCAAACCGGCUGUAGAAAUAUGGCCGGGGUAAGGACAGCAAAAUGUAUGUUGGACCCUAGCAGAAGGGCAUGGGACGGCCCACCACAGAGAGUGAUAGUCUCGUAUGCGAAAGGGAAAAACAGCAAGCUGUAUCCAGAGUACCACUGGACACGUGAAACCCGGUGGGAAUGUGGGGGGACCACCCUCCAAGCCUAAAUACUCCCUGGUGACCGAUAGUGAAGAGUACUGUGAAGGAAAGGUGAAAAGAACCCCGGGAGGGGAGUGAAAAGAACCUGAAACCUUGUGCUUACAAGCACACAGAGCACGUCAAGGUGUGAUGUGGUACCUUUUGUAGAAUGGUCCGGCGAGUGAAUGUAACGAGCAAGGUUAAGCACUUUAGGUGUGGAGCCGAAGCGAAAGCAAGUCUGAAUAGGGCAUCAAGUUCGUUGUAUUCGACCCGAAACCGGGUGACCUAGCCAUGUCCAGGCUGAAGUGAAGGUAAAACUUCAUGGAGGGCCGAACCCACUCCCGUUGAAAUGGUAGGGGAUGAGGUGUGGCUAGCGGAGAAAUUCCAAUCGAACCCGGAGAUAGCUGGUUCUCUCCGAAAUAGCUUUAGGGCUAGCCUCGUAUUAGAUUACUGGAGGUAAAGCACUGAAUGGGCUAGGGGCCGAGAGGUUACUGAACCCUAUCAAACUAAGAAUGCCGGAUAAUGAUAGUCGGGAGUCAGACAGUGUGAGAUAAGUUUCAUUGUCGAAAGGGAAACAGCCCAGACCCACAGCUAAGGUCCCAAAGUAUCGUUAAGUGGAAAAGGAUGUGGAACUGCCCAGACAACCAGGAUGUUGGCUCAGAAGCAGCCAUACAUUCAAAGAGUGCGUAAUAGCUCACUGGUCGAGUGGUUCUGCGCCGAAAAUUUAACGGGGCUAAACGAUACACCGAAGCUUGGGAUGCAGCAUUGGCUGCAUGGUAGGAGAGCGUUCUGUACGGGGUGAAGUCAUAGCGGAAGCGGUGGUGGACUGUACAGAAGAGAGAAUGCCGGAAUGAGUAGCGAGAUUUAUGUGAGAAUCAUAAAGGCCGAAAGACUAAGGAUUUAGAAGGAAGGUUCGUCCGCUUCUAGUUAGCCGGGAGCUAAGGCGAGGCCGAAAGGCGUAGUCGAUGCACAUACGGUGGAGAUUCCGUAGCCGCCUCUUAAUUUAAGCAAAGGGACACUUUCAAAGGGAAUGACCCGGGCGUUGGUAGCCCCGGGCGAAAGGGACCGAAAUUAGAGUAGGGAAGCAUUUCUGGAGGAAGGCGAGAAAAGCUUUGCGGAUAGAGAGAGGCGCCCGUACCGCAAACCGACACAGGUAGUCAGGAAGAGGAUUCUAAGGCCAACGGGAGAAGGGUAGUUAAGGAACUCGGCAAAUUGACCCCGUAACUUCGGAAUAAGGGGUGCUCCUGAAAAGGAGCCGCAGUGAAUAGGCCCAGGCGACUGUUUAUCAAAAACACAGCUCUCUGCUAAAUCGAAAGAUGAAGUAUAGGGGGUGACACCUGCCCGGUGCUGGAAGGUUAAGAGGAAGGGUGCAAGCUCUGAAUUGAAGCCCCAGUAAACGGCGGCCGUAACUAUAACGGUCCUAAGGUAGCGAAAUUCCUUGUCGGGU